rnacentral:rRNA from 1 species
UACGGGGGGGGCAAGCGUUGUUCGGAAUUACUGGGCGUAAAGGGCUUGUAGGUGGCCAACUAAGUCAGACGUGAAAUCCCACGGCUUAACCGGGGAACUGCGUCUGAUACUGGAUGGCUUGAGUGUGGGAGAGGGAUGCGGAAUUCCAGGUGUAGCGGUGAAAUGCGUAGAUAUCUGGAGGAACACCGGUGGCGAAGGCGGCAUCCUGGACCGGCAUUGACGCUGAGGCGCGAAAGCUAGGGGAGCAAACGGG